rnacentral:rRNA from 1 species
UGGCGAACGGGUGAGUAACACGUGAGUAACCUGCCCCUGACUCUGGGAUAACUGCUGGAAACGGUGGCUAAUACCGGAUAUGAAACGCCUUCGCAUGGGGGUGUUUGGAAAGAUUUUUUGGUCAGGGAUGGGCUCGCGGCCUAUCAGCUUGUUGGUGGGGUGAUGGCCUACCAAGGCGACGACGGGUAGCCGGCCUGAGAGGGCGACCGGCCACACUGGGACUGAGACACGGCCCAGACUCCUACGGGAGGCAGCAGUGGGGAAUAUUGCGCAAUGGGCGAAAGCCUGAUGCAGCGACGCCGCGUGAGGGAUGAAGGCCUUCGGGUUGUAAACCUCUUUCAGCAGGGAAGAAGCGAGAGUGACGGUACCUGCAGAAGAAGCGCCGGCUAACUACGUGCCAGCAGCCGCGGUAAUACGUAGGGCGCAAGCGUUGUCCGGAAUUAUUGGGCGUAAAGAGCUCGUAGGCGGUUUGUCGCGUCUGCUGUGAAAACCUAAGGCUCAACCUUGGGCUUGCAGUGGGUAC